rnacentral:rRNA from 1 species
AAUGAACGUUGGCGGCGUGGAUUAGGCAUGCAAGUCGAGCGAGAACCCCGCAAGGGGGGACAGCGGCGCAAGGGACAGUAAUGUGUAGAUCAUCUGCCCUCAGGUCCGGGAUAGCUGCGGGAAACUGCAGGUAAUACCGGAUAACAUCUCCGGAUCAAAGGUGUGAUUCCGCCUGAGGAUAAGUCUGCAUCCUAUUAGCUAGUUGGCAGGGUAACGGCCUACCAAGGCAUUGAUGGGUAGCGGGUGUGAGAGCACGACCCGCGUCAUUGGGACUGGGACACUGCCCAGACACCUACGGGUGGCUGCAGUCGAGAAUCUUCGGCAAUGGGCGCAAGCCUGACCGAGCGACGCCGCGUGUGGGAUGAAGGCCUUCGGGUUGUAAACCACUGUCAGAGGGGAUGAAAUGCAGGUGGGUUCUCCCAUCUGUUUGACAUAGCCUCAGAGGAAGGACGGGCUAAGUUCGUGCCAGCCGCCGCAGUAA